GACGAACGCUGGCGGCGUGCUUAACACAUGCAAGUCGAACGGUAAGGCCCCUUUGGGGUUACACGAGUGGCGGACGGGUGUAUAACACGUCAGCAACCUGCCCCUGACUCUGGAAUAACAGUUGGAAAUAGCUGCUAAUCCGGGAUAUUCAUCGUCUCCUUCCUGGGGGGUGGUGGAUACCUCCGGCGGUCAGGGAUGGGCGCGCGGCGUUUCAGCUUGUUGGUGGGGUAAUGUCGCACCAAGGCUUCGACGGGUAGCCGGCCUGAGAGGGGGACCGGCCACAAUGGGACUGAGAUACGGCCCAGAAUCCUACGGGAGGCAGCAGUGGGGAAUAUUGCACAAUGGGCGGAAGCCUGAUGCAGCAACGCCGCGUGGGGGAUGACGGCCUUCGGGUUGUAAACAGCUUUCAGUAGGGACGAAGGGUGACUGACGGUACCUACAGAAGAAGGACCGGCUAACUACGUG
rnacentral:rRNA from 1 species